rnacentral:rRNA from 1 species
CCUACGGGGGGCAGCAGUGGGGAAUAUUGGACAAUGGGGGCAACCCUGAUCCAGCCAUGCCGCGUGUGUGAAGAAGGCCCUCGGGUUGUAAAGCACUUUCAGUGAGGAAGAACGCCUGGUGGUUAAUACCCAUCAGGAAAGACAUCACUCACAGAAGAAGCACCGGCUAACUCCGUGCCAGCAGCCGCGGUAAUACGGAGGGUGCGAGCGUUAAUCGGAAUUACUGGGCGUAAAGCGCGCGUAGGUGGCUUGAUAAGCCGGUUGUGAAAGCCCCGGGCUCAACCUGGGAACGGCAUCCGGAACUGUCAAGCUAGAGUGCAGGAGAGGAAGGUAGAAUUCCCGGUGUAGCGGUGAAAUGCGUAGAGAUCGGGAGGAAUACCAGUGGCGAAGGCGGCCUUCUGGACUGACACUGACACUGAGGUGCGAAAGCGUGGGUAGCAAACAGGAUUAGAUACACCAGUAGUC